rnacentral:rRNA from 1 species
AUUGAACGCUGGCGGCAUGCUUUACACAUGCAAGUCGAACGGCAGCGGGGGCUUCGGCCUGCCGGCGAGUGGCGAACGGGUGAGUAAUGCAUCGGAACGUGCCCAGUCAUGGGGGAUAACUACGCGAAAGCGCAGCUAAUACCGCAUACGCCCUGAGGGGGAAAGCGGGGGAUCGCAAGACCUCGCGUGAUUGGAGCGGCCGAUGUCGGAUUAGCUAGUUGGUGGGGUAAAGGCCUACCAAGGCGACGAUCCGUAGCGGGUCUGAGAGGAUGAUCCGCCACACUGGGACUGAGACACGGCCCAGACUCCUACGGGAGGCAGCAGUGGGGAAUUUUGGACAAUGGGGGGCAACCCUGAUCCAGCCAUGCCGCGUGAGUGAAGAAGGCC